CUCAUUCUGGAGUGACUGCGGGAAGUUUGCGUUCCAAACCUCGCACUUCUGCCCUUGCGUUCAAUCUUGUUCGUCUUCCAGUGACUUCCGGUCUUCCCUGAGCUGCGUUUGUCAUGAAGCCGUGAGGAGAAACAAUGAGGUGAGGUUCUCUUCAUCUUCAUCAUCAUUUCUUCUUUUAAUGGUCAUCAGUGAGAGAGUGGCACAGACUGAUCCCAGACUAAAAUCGUUGGCACAAAGAGAGAGGCUUUCAUGUCUGCAGGACAGAUUUGUGUCGACGGCUCCCCAAGGCCGCGUGGUCUUAUCGCCCGCCAUCCGAGGCUUCCCGGUUCAUACAGGAGCGCAGCGCAGGAACGAUGCGUUACUAAUGCGGCCCCUAAAACUUCGCCGCCCGGGCCUUUGUGGCCUCACUACAAAUCCAGGCCCGUCUGUCUCUCUUCAUUCUCGCUUCAUGCAGGGCAGUCGGGUGUCCGAGUCUGACAGUUAGACCUAAUAUAUCUUUUAGGUGGCUCAAACAUAAUGUAACAAAAUAACUGACUGAAAGAAUUGAAAAUAAUAUCAUCUUAAACUGAUGGGCAGCAAGUAGGCUUCUGAAGUUCUGCUCUGUAAAAUGUACAGAGAGGCUGUUGAACUUACGUACAUGGUAGGGCCUUGAAGGUCUGGGAUUAAAUAUGUCAUACACAGGUAUGGGCUCUAUUACCUGCAAUCCUUGGGGGUUUCUGGAUAAGGGAUAUUUCUGUCACAAUAAUUUAGGAAUGCAUAAAAGAAAUAGGAUUGUUUUGUCCUCAGUAUGGAUUUAUGCAGCUUAA